AGCGUACACGGUGGAUGCCCUGGCAGUCAGAGGCGAUGAAGGACGUGCUAAUCUGCGAUAAGCGUCGGUAAGGUGAUAUGAACCGUUAUAACCGGCGAUUUCCGAAUGGGGAAACCCAGUGUGAUUCGUCACACUAUCAUUAACUGAAUCCAUAGGUUAAUGAGGCGAACCGGGGGAACUGAAACAUCUAAGUACCCCGAGGAAAAGAAAUCAACCGAGAUUCCCCCAGUAGCGGCGAGCGAACGGGGAGCAGCCCAGAGCCUGAAUCAGUGUGUGUGUUAGUGGAAGCGUCUGGAAAGGCGCGCGAUACAGGGUGACAGCCCCGUACACAAAAAUGCACAUGCUGUGAGCUCGAUGAGUAGGGCGGGACACGUGGUAUCCUGUCUGAAUAUGGGGGGACCAUCCUCCAAGGCUAAAUACUCCUGACUGACCGAUAGUGAACCAGUACCGUGAGGGAAAGGCGAAAAGAACCCCGGCGAGGGGAGUGAAAAAGAACCUGAAACCGUGUACGUACAAGCAGUGGGAGCACGCUUAGGCGUGUGACUGCGUACCUUUUGUAUAAUGGGUCAGCGACUUAUAUUCUGUAGCAAGGUUAACCGAAUAGGGGAGCCGAAGGGAAACCGAGUCUUAACUGGGCGUUAAGUUGCAGGGUAUAGACCCGAAACCCGGUGAUCUAGCCAUGGGCAGGUUGAAGGUUGGGUAACACUAACUGGAGGACCGAACCGACUAAUGUUGAAAAAUUAGCGGAUGACUUGUGGCUGGGGGUGAAAGGCCAAUCAAACCGGGAGAUAGCUGGUUCUCCCCGAAAGCUAUUUAGGUAGCGCCUCGUGAAUUCAUCUCCGGGGGUAGAGCACUGUUUCGGCAAGGGGGUCAUCCCGACUUACCAACCCGAUGCAAACUGCGAAUACCGGAGAAUGUUAUCACGGGAGACACACGGCGGGUGCUAACGUCCGUCGUGAAGAGGGAAACAACCCAGACCGCCAGCUAAGGUCCCAAAGUCAUGGUUAAGUGGGAAACGAUGUGGGAAGGCCCAGACAGCCAGGAUGUUGGCUUAGAAGCAGCCAUCAUUUAAAGAAAGCGUAAUAGCUCACUGGUCGAGUCGGCCUGCGCGGAAGAUGUAACGGGGCUAAACCAUGCACCGAAGCUGCGGCAGCGACGCUUAUGCGUUGUUGGGUAGGGGAGCGUUCUGUAAGCCUGUGAAGGUGUGCUGUGAGGCAUGCUGGAGGUAUCAGAAGUGCGAAUGCUGACAUAAGUAACGAUAAAGCGGGUGAAAAGCCCGCUCGCCGGAAGACCAAGGGUUCCUGUCCAACGUUAAUCGGGGCAGGGUGAGUCGACCCCUAAGGCGAGGCCGAAAGGCGUAGUCGAUGGGAAACAGGUUAAUAUUCCUGUACUUGGUGUUACUGCGAAGGGGGGACGGAGAAGGCUAUGUUGGCCGGGCGACGGUUGUCCCGGUUUAAGCGUGUAGGCUGGUUUUCCAGGCAAAUCCGGAAAAUCAAGGCUGAGGCGUGAUGACGAGGCACUACGGUGCUGAAGCAACAAAUGCCCUGCUUCCAGGAAAAGCCUCUAAGCAUCAGGUAACAUCAAAUCGUACCCCAAACCGACACAGGUGGUCAGGUAGAGAAUACCAAGGCGCUUGAGAGAACUCGGGUGAAGGAACUAGGCAAAAUGGUGCCGUAACUUCGGGAGAAGGCACGCUGAUAUGUAGGUGAAGUCCCUCGCGGAUGGAGCUGAAAUCAGUCGAAGAUACCAGCUGGCUGCAACUGUUUAUUAAAAACACAGCACUGUGCAAACACGAAAGUGGACGUAUACGGUGUGACGCCUGCCCGGUGCCGGAAGGUUAAUUGAUGGGGUUAGCGGCAACGCGAAGCUCUUGAUCGAAGCCCCGGUAAACGGCGGCCGUAACUAUAACGGUCCUAAGGUAGCGAAAUUCCUUGUCGGGUAAGUUCCGACCUGCACGAAUGGCGUAAUGAUGGCCAGGCUGUCUCCACCCGAGACUCAGUGAAAUUGAACUCGCUGUGAAGAUGCAGUGUACCCGCGGCAAGACGGAAAGACCCCGUGAACCUUUACUAUAGCUUGACACUGAACAUUGAGCCUUGAUGUGUAGGAUAGGUGGGAGGCUUUGAAGUGUGGACGCCAGUCUGCAUGGAGCCGACCUUGAAAUACCACCCUUUAAUGUUUGAUGUUCUAACGUUGACCCGUAAUCCGGGUUGCGGACAGUGUCUGGUGGGUAGUUUGACUGGGGCGGUCUCCUCCUAAAGAGUAACGGAGGAGCACGAAGGUUGGCUAAUCCUGGUCGGACAUCAGGAGGUUAGUGCAAUGGCAUAAGCCAGCUUGACUGCGAGCGUGACGGCGCGAGCAGGUGCGAAAGCAGGUCAUAGUGAUCCGGUGGU
rnacentral:rRNA from 1 species